GUCCGCAUAGCUUACCACCAAA
rnacentral:tRNA from 1 species